rnacentral:misc_RNA from 1 species
CAGAGUUGCAAAACUCCCACAAACCAUCGCGAAUCUUACCCGUACGGUUGCCUCGGCGCUGGCGGUCCGGAAGGCCCUCGGGCCCCCCGGAUCCUCGGGUCUCCCGCUCGCGGGAGGCUGCCCGCCGGAGUGCCGAAACCAAACUCUUGAUAUUUUAUGUCUCUCUGAGUAAACUUUUAAAUAAAUCA